rnacentral:lncRNA from 1 species
UUAAUGUAAUUGUUUAACAUAGUAGCCGUCUCAAGGUGGCUAUGUUUACUACGCCAAAUCAACAUUGGUAGAACGAUUUACUUCUUUUAAACUUUUUUUAAAAAUUAAAUAUAUGUUUUAAACACUAAAACAAGAUAAUAUGCAGAUGACACAACUACAGAACAAAACAAGUGAUGAAUGAAAUUCCAUUUUUGAUAAACCAUUUAAGACUCAUCGAAAUUUU